CGUGGAGUAUGUGGUUUAAUUACGUACGCAACGCGCAGAACCUUACCUGGUCUUUGACAUCUCGGGAAUCAUUUGGAACAUAUGAGUGCCUCGCAAGAGGAGCCCGAUGACAGGUGCUGCAUGGCUGUCGUCAGCUCGUGUCGUGAGAUGUUGGGUUAAGUCCCGCAACGAGCGCAACCCUUGUCUUUAGUUUGCCAUCAUUAAGUUGGGCACUCUAAAGAGACUGCCGGUGUCAAACCGGAGGAAGUGGGGAUGACGUCAAGUCCUCAUGGCCUUUAUGACCAGGGCUACACACGUACUACAAUGGCAGGUACAAAGGGCAGCCACUUAGCGAUAAGGCGCGAAUCCCAUAAAACCUGUCUCAGUCCGGAUUGGAGUCUGCAACUCGACUCCAUGAAGUUGGAAUCGCUAGUAAUCGCAGAUCAGCACGCUGCGGUGAAUACGUUCCCGGGCCUU
rnacentral:rRNA from 1 species